CUGUGGUGCCAUCCUGUUCCCCGUAGUCUGUGGCAGUGAACCUGGCCAAGCUGAAGCUGUUCCGGCAUUACUAUGUCAUGGUCAUCUGCUACGUCUACUUCACCCGCAUCAUCGCCAUCCUGCUGCAGGUGGCUGUGCCCUUUCAGUGGCAGUGGCUGUACCAGCUCUUGGUGGAGGGCUCCACCCUGGCCUUCUUCGUGCUCACGGGCUACAAGUUCCAGCCCACAGGAAACAACCCGUACCUGCAGCUGCCCCAGGAGGACGAGGAGGAUGUUCAGAUGGAGCAAGUAAUGACGGACUCUGGGUUCCGGGAAGGCCUCUCCAAAGUCAACAAAACAGCCAGCGGGCGGGAACUGUUAUGAUCACCUCCACAUCUCAGACCAAAGGGUCGUCCUCCCCCAGCAUUUCUCACUCCUGCCCUUCUUCCACAGCGUAUGUGGGGAGGUGGAGGGGGUCCAUGUGGACCAGGCGCCCAGCUCCCCGGGACCCCGGUUCCCGGACAAGCCCAUUUGGAAGAAGAGUCCCUUCCUCCCCCCAAAUAUUGGGCAGCCCUGUCCUUACCCCGGGACCACCCCUCCCUUCCAGCUAUGUGUACAAUAAUGACCAAUCUGUUUGGCUA
rnacentral:lncRNA from 1 species